AAUCCAUAGGUUAAUGAGGCGAACCGGGGGAACUGAAACAUCUAAGUACCCCGAGGAAAAGAAAUCAACCGAGAUUCCCCCAGUAGCGGCGAGCGAACGGGGAGGAGCCCAGAGCCUGAAUCAGCAUGUGUGUUAGUGGAAGCGUCUGGAAAGGCGCGCGAUACAGGGUGACAGCCCCGUACACAAAAGCGCAUGUGCUGUGAGCUCGAUGAGUAGGGCGGGACACGUGGUAUCCUGUCUGAAUAUGGGGGGACCAUCCUCCAAGGCUAAAUACUCCUGACUGACCGAUAGUGAACCAGUACCGUGAGGGAAAGGCGAAAAGAACCCCGGCGAGGGGAGUGAAAAAGAACCUGAAACCGUGUACGUACAAGCAGUGGGAGCACAGGUUUACCUGUGUGACUGCGUACCUUUUGUAUAAUGGGUCAGCGACUUAUAUUCUGUAGCAAGGUUAACCGAAUAGGGGAGCCGGAGGGAAACCGAGUC
rnacentral:rRNA from 4 species